UACGUAGGGUGCGAGCGUUGUCCGGAAUCACUGGGCGUAAAGAGCGUGUAGGCGGCCAGGUAGGUCUGCUGUGAAAACUCGAGGCUUAACCUCGAGAUGUCGGCGGAAACCAUCUGGCUAGAGUCCGGAAGAGGAGAAUGGAAUUCCCGGUGUAGCGGUGAAAUGCGCAGAUAUCGGGAAGAACACCCGUGGCGAAGGCGGUUCUCUGGGACGGUACUGACGCUGAGACGCGAAAGCGUGGGGAGCGAACAGG
rnacentral:rRNA from 1 species